rnacentral:other from 1 species
ACAGGAUGUGGUAGGACGAGCUUCAGGAUGAAGGCGAGAUAACCGGGAUGGUUAUCUGUCAGGACGACGCAGGAACACCACGGGAUGUGGUAAUGGACACCUCCAGGAUGGAGACAGUGCAGCAAUCAGGAUAGGUUGCUGGGUCAGGAUGACAUAUGGACACCCCAAUGGAUUGGGAAGGGGAAAUCCAACGGAUUUGGAUACAGUCAGGGAAUGCAGGGAGCAUUUGCAGUUCAAGGACUGGACGACACGACUUAAGGGGACGGCUCAGCCGUCCCCUUUUCUUAUAUU